GAUGAACGCUAGCUACAGGCUUAACACAUGCAAGUCGCGGGGCAGCAUGGGGGUUGCUUGCAACCCCUGAUGGCGACCGGCGCACGGGUGAGUAACGCGUAUCCAACCUGCCCUUCACCACGGGAUAACCCGGCGAAAGUCGGACUAAUACCGUAUGUUGUCCAUUGACGGCAUCCGAUUUGGACGAAAGGCUUAGCGGUGAGGGAUGGGGAUGCGUCCGAUUAGCUUGACGGCGGGGUAACGGCCCACCGUGGCGACGAUCGGUAGGGGUUCUGAGAGGAAGGUCCCCCACACUGGAACUGAGACACGGUCCAGACUCCUACGGGAGGCAGCAGUGAGGAAUAUUGGUCAAUGGGCGGAAGCCUGAACCAGCCAAGUAGCGUGCAGGAUGACGGCCCUAUGGGUUGUAAACUGCUUUUAUGCGGGGAUAAAGGAGCCCACGUGUGGGUUUUUGCAG
rnacentral:rRNA from 1 species